CCUACGGGGCGCAGCAGUGGGGAAUAUUGCACAAUGGGGGGAACCCUGAUGCAGCGACGCCGCGUGGGUGAAGAAGUCAUUCGUGACGUAAAGCCCUAUCAGCAGGGAAGAAAAUGACGGUACCUGACUAAGAAGCCCCGGCUAACUACGUGCCAGCAGCCGCGGUAAUACGUAGGGGGCAAGCGUUAUCCGGAUUUACUGGGUGUAAAGGGAGCGUAGACGGCUGCGCAAGUCUGAAGUGAAAGCCCGGGGCUCAACCCCGGGACUGCUUUGGAAACUGUGUAGCUAGAGUGCUGGAGAGGCAG
rnacentral:rRNA from 1 species